rnacentral:snRNA from 1 species
GAAGAGCCCAGCUUGAAAAUCGGAC